rnacentral:rRNA from 1 species
UACGAAGGGGGCUAGCGUUGCUCGGAAUCACUGGGCGUAAAGGGCGCGUAGGCGGCUCAUGAAGGCUGUGGUGAAAGUCCGGGGCUCAACCUCGGAUCGGCCGUGGCGACUCGUGGGCUGGAGCACUGUAGAGGCGGGUGGAAUUCCGGGUGUAGCGGUGGAAUGCGUAGAGAUCCGGAAGAACACCAGUGGCGAAGGCGGCCCGCUGGGCAGUGGCUAACGCUGAGGCGCGACAGCGUGGGGAGCAAACAGG